GUGCUGUGUGGUGUACUCUAGUGGAGAGUGCAGAGGCUGUGGAUUCUGUUUCAGACUGCCACUGGCAGUCGAUGGGCCAGAUUGUGACCUUCUUAUUCCCGUUGUGAGCAGCUUCUCCCAGGAAUAGUCCCACUGGUGUUCUUUCAGAUGCAUGAGAUGAUACUAACAGCAAAAUCAGACUGCUUAAAAACAUGGGGGUAUCCACAGUGCUGUCUGAUCGUGAGAGGAUGAUUGGUUUAGAAUGCAGCAAACCUACAACACUGGUUUGGAUCAGAACAGGAAAAGGCACUCAAACACAGAAGGACAAAAGAACGUUGACAGGGUUAAAAAGACCUUCGCUCAAGAGAGAGGCAGUGACCAUUCAGGGGAGAUAGUCUGAGGAAACAGGACCCCACUGGGGGUGUCUGAAGAAGCUAGCCCUGCCUAAGUUAGCAU